UACGUAGGUGGCAAGCGUUGUCCGGAUUUACUGGGCGUAAAGAGCUCGUAGGCGGUGUGUCACGUCGGCCGUGAAAACCUGCAGCUUAACUGUGGGCGUGCGGUCGAUACGGGCAUCACUGGAGUUCGGCAGGGGAGACUGGAAUUCCUGGUGUAGCGGUGAAAUGCGCAGAUAUCAGGAGGAACACCGGUGGCGAAGGCGGGUCUCUGGGCCGAUACUGACGCUGAGGAGCGAAAGCGUGGGGGAGCGAACAGG
rnacentral:rRNA from 1 species